rnacentral:rRNA from 1 species
UACAGAGGUCCCAAGCGUUGUUCGGAUUUACUGGGCGUAAAGGGUGCGUAGGUGGUUGGGUAAGUUUGAUGUGAAAUCUCCGGGCUUAACCCGGAAAUGGCAUUGAAUACUAUUCGGCUAGAGGUUUGGAGGGGGGGACUGGAAUUCUUGGUGUAGCAGUGAAAUGCGUAGAUAUCAAGAGGAACACCAGUGGCGAAGGCGAGUCCCUGGACAACACCUGACACUGAGGCACGAAAGCUAGGGGAGCAAACAGG